rnacentral:lncRNA from 1 species
AGACUUCUAUAGCGGAAGGUGAAUGAGGAGAUAUAGUAAACUCCCUAAAGGCCUGUAUAGGUAAAACCUCAGAUAUAUCAAGAUGGUCAGAAUGGUCAGAAGAGGUAAAGAAAGGUUUAGACUCAAAAAAUGUGACAUCGGCUAACAUAAGAGGAGCCACACUAGACUCUCCAACGGUUGGAAUGUGUAAGACUUCUAUAGCGGAAGGUGAAGGAGGAGAUAUAGUAAACUCCCUAAAGGUCUGUAUGGGUAAAACCUCAUAUAUAUCAAGAGGGUCAGAAUGGUCAGAAGAGGUAAAGAAAGGUUUAGACUCAAAAAAUGUGACAUCGGCUGACAUAAAGUACCUACGAAGAUCAGGUGAAUAACAACGAUAGCCCUUCUGAGCACGAGAAUAACCAAGGAAGACACACUUGAGAGCACGANNNNNNNNNNNNNNNNNNNNNNAGAUAUAGCCAGAUGGUCAGAAUGGUCAGAAGAGGUAAAGAAAGGCUUAGACUCAAAAAAUGUGACAUCGGCUAACAUAAGGUACCUACGAAGAUCAGGUGAAUAACAACGAUAGCCCUUCUGGGCACGAGAAUAACCAAGGAAGACUUUGCGAGCAUGAGGAGCUAACUUAUCAUUCCCAGGGGCUAAGUUAUGAACGAAACAAGUGCUCCCAAAAAUACGAGGGGAACA